GACGAACGCUGGCGGCGUGCUUAACACAUGCAAGUCGUACGGUAAGGCCCUUUCGGGGGUACACGAGUGGCGAACGGGUGAGUAACACGUGAGUAACCUGCCCACAACUUUGGGAUAACGCUAGGAAACUGGUGCUAAUACUGGAUAUGUGCUCCUGCUGCAUGGUGGGGGUUGGAAAGCUCCGGCGGUUGUGGAUGGACUCGCGGCCUAUCAGCUUGUUGGUGGGGUAGUGGCCUACCAAGGCGGCGACGGGUAGCCGGCCUGAGAGGGUGACCGGCCACAUUGGGACUGAGAUACGGCCCAGACUCCUACGGGAGGCAGCAGUGGGGAAUAUUGCACAAUGGGCGCAAGCCUGACGCAGCAACGCCGCGUGCGGGAUGACGGCCUUCGGGUUGUAAACCGCUUUCAGCAGGGACGAAGCUUUUUGUGACGGUACCUGCAGAAGAAGCACCGGCUAACUACGUG
rnacentral:rRNA from 1 species